AGACCGUACUAGUAAGUGGACUCUGUUCGCUGUUCCAAAUAUAUAUAUUUGACUCUGUUCGUCGACUUCGUUUUCCAACUCCAUUGCUGCAAACUGCAAAGGCACAGGAUCUCCGGCAAUCCAAGAGCUUUCGGCACCGCCGCGUUCGCCGUCCGGUUCUCCGCCUCUUCUAUUCUUUCUGCAAGAUGUGAAACUGUUCUUCAACCUGGCUUCAAUUCAACUGUGUAAAUUGGGAAGAAUAGAUCAAAGCACUGAGGCAAGCAUAAACACAGUCAAAACGAUGUAGUGCACAAGUGCCAUUUUUGCCUGAAUCACAAUGUAAACUGGGUGGCCCUUAAGGGACAUAUGAAAGGACUAUGCCCAUCUAAAACCAAAACAUCAUUGGUAUCAACACCAGCAACAAAAACCAUCACAAACAAGUCUUCAAAAUUGGAGAAAGGCAUUAUAUGUGAAGACAAUGCAAAAGAAGCAAAUGCGUCUGCUUUGAGAGUUGCAGAUAUAGAUAUCCACUUUGUUGAUGGUCCAGCCACCCCAUCAAGCGUAAUGCCACAACCUCAAAGAAGAGAAAAUCUAAGAAGGCGCUUGAAACUGCAAGCAUAUCUGCUAAAGCAGAAGCAUCGAAAACUCAGCACAACAAGCAAAAAACGGAAAAGAUCUUGGACUAGCUUAAAGGAACUUGCGCAGAGCAACUAUCACGACAACAGUGGUGUUGCUAAUUUGGAAAUCCCUUUCGUUUUAUAAGUAGGGAGGUUAUACUAUUCGAUAAAAAGUGUUGCCCUCCUCGCAUUUUUCUAAUUUUGAAGUUGAGAUAUAUGCAACAUGUUGUAAGUAAGAACUUUAUUAUUCCAUUGAUUGUUAGAAUUUGAAGGCAAAA